rnacentral:tRNA from 1 species
GGAGGAGUGGCCGAGUGGUUUAAGGCAACGGUCUUGAAAACCGUCGGAGGUAACACUCUCGUGGGUUCGAAUCCCUCCUCCUCCGCCA